UACGAAGGGGGCUAGCGUUGUUCGGAAUCACUGGGCGUAAAGGGAGCGUAGGCGGGUUUUUAAGUUGGAUGUUUAACCCCGGGGCCCAACCCCGGAUCGGCAUCCAAAACUGGAAAUCUUGAAUAGGGGAGAGGUCAGUGGAAUUGGAGGUGUAGCGGUGGAAUGCGUAGAGAUCUCCAAGAACACCAGUUGCGAAGGCGGCUGACUGGACCCAUAUUGACGCUGAGGCUCGAAAGCAUGGGGAGCAAACAGG
rnacentral:rRNA from 1 species